rnacentral:lncRNA from 1 species
AGAGAUGUUCAGUCCCUCCCAAGAGUUGGGCACGAUAGUUCUACUGGGCUGAGAUUGGUAAGAAGCUGUCCAGUGGAUCCCUGUUUCAAGACAGAUGAUCUGAUCAUUGCAUACAAAAGAAAAACCUUGUAUGCCACACACGGUAAGGUUUAGGAGUUGAGAACAUUGUCUCAGAGAGGAAUGAGACUGCCAAGAGCUGCAUGGAGCACUUUGUUGGGAGGACAUGAGGGGUGAUUGGCAUUCAGUCAAUGGCUUCCGUGGGUCUGGGAGCAGUGGGAGAUUGUCUCCUGCAGUUGGGGGAAAGAGGCUGGAGUUCCUAUGGGCGAGGGAAGGGAACUGGGGAAGGGGAGUGGAGAAGCAUAGCUGGAGUACUUGCAAUAUUUAGUACAGGUAUGUAAUCAUUCAGUUGAUUAGGAAUCAAGACAUACUACACAGCAUUUCUCAGACCCAAUCUGAGGAUGUGGAGAUAUGGUCUGAGAAUCUUGGGGGAACCAUUAAGUAGGUUCAGGAACUUGUCACAUUCUGGAGUCUAUCUCUUAUUCACCCCUUGUUUCUUGGUGGGUCAUUCUGUCUUGGCAACAGUCUUCCAAUGGACAUUGGUAAGUCAGUUUGCUCUUCAUGCCAGAGACCUGGGGUCAGGGUGGGCAUCCUUGGGGAAAACAGGAAGAUGACUCCUGAGCCUUCAAACUAAUGACACGUGUAUGCUGGACACUGCUGGACAUACUACACAUAGCAACUCUCCACUCACUAGGGUCAGCAGAGGUUUAGUCCCUGUCCUUGCUCCGGAUCCAGACCUCUAAAGAUCACAGGUUCAAAAGUCCCUGUGGAAUCCAGGCAGGCUGUCUCUGUUGCAACUUCAAUGUGCCAGAAGGGAGGCUGGAGCUGAGCUGAGCCCAAACCUUGCAACCCCACAGCAAUAAGUACACAUGGACCUCCUCCGCUCUGAUGUGGAUGCCACACCUGCACUGAACACCUGUGUGUCACUGGAGCCUGGGGGUGAGUCCAUGGUUAUUGUUUGCCUGGAGCCUCUAAGCCCGUUUCCUUUUCCUGUCCAUGAUUCUUGGCCCUGCCCAACACAGUUGCAUAGACUGGCACCAUAGUUUAGGGCAGAGAAAAGUGUCUUUCUUAAGACCCACGUGGGCCUGAAAGGACACCUGCAUGGGAGUCAGGACACCAUCAUGGAUCAUGGUCAGAAAGGGGAUUAGGGAGACAACUUGCUGAGGUCACUGCCAGACUCAGGUUGCUGGGUUCCUCCUGGUUUGCUCCAGGGCACUUCCAGGGUAUGUUCUGGUGCCUGAUGCUUACACCUGCAUGUCAGUGCUGGGAUGGCACCUUCAGCCUCUCAUCUCUACCUGAAUGUGUCAGAAAUGACAUUAUCAAAGAGACACAGCAGUGCUGACUGGGUGCUGGUCCCAGUGGGGGAUGGGCUGACUCAGGCUGGAUUUUCCUACAUCAGUAAAUGAGUCCUUGUGAGGUAAGUGCACAGACAGGUGAGGGAUACACAGAGUUGCACACUGUGUUCUGUCAUGGGUCUCCUCUCUGUUUCCUGAUCUUGGGAGAGGAUCUGGAUGUUUUGCUAACCAUCUGUCUGCUUCACAGUUUGUUUCCCUUCAUCCUCAGUCCAUGUUCUCUCAGCCAGGUGAACAACUAUGGUCUGUCAGGAUCAUGUGAGUUUAGGUGUAUUGAGGCCUGGAUAUUCAUGUCAGCAGCACAGGUGCGGCAUGUCCAAAAUAGGAUGCUGGGUUCUGGGCAGCAGGGCAGCAGGACUCCCAGAUUUGUUAUUCUCUGCAGUCAUGUGUACAGAUAAUUGAUCGCUGUCCUUUGGACUCCCUGGAAGAGGAGAGAUGGAACCUGGGCACAUCUCUCUUGGACUCUGUCCUGUGCACUCUUUCCCUUUCUUGCCUUUGAUUUGUCUCGAUUCACUGAAAUGAUGAUCAACAGUGAGUCUCAGAGUCAUUUCUAGUUUUUUUUCUUUUCAUUUGAAAAGUGAGGCGUGACUCAUUAGGAUGAUUGCGACUAUUGAAGGAAGACUUGGGAAAGCUUAGUUUGGGCAAAGAAUGGCUGAGGUUGGUGACACUUUCAUCCCUGAAUGGAUACUGUAUCCCUCAUGGUUCAAGGUCAUAGUGGGACUGUGGUCCAUUACCUAUGAAAUCCCAAACCACAGAAUUAACACUUUAGAUGAUUCACUUGGUAUGAAAUUAAAUGUAAAGUAUUGAGAAUCAAACUCUAA